AUUGGCCCUUAUCGAAGUCGUUUCAGUGAAUACCGUGGCUGAAGCGGUCAGCAAGGUGCCUACAGCAUAACUUUUACCGACGGUCGCUGCUUAGUUUCUAUAACUAAGGGGCAACAUUAUGGAAAAGGAUAUUG